rnacentral:rRNA from 1 species
UACGUAGGGGGGCUAGCGUUGUCCGGAAUCAUUGGGCGUAAAGAGCGCGUAGGCGGCCAGAUAAGUCCGGUGUGAAAGUCAAAGGCUCAACCUUUGAAUGCCGCUGGAAACUGUCUGGCUAGAGUCCGGAAGGGGCGAGUGGAAUUCCUGGUGUAGCGGUGAAAUGCGCAGAUAUCAGGAGGAACACCAAUGGCGAAGGCAGCUCGCUGGAACGGUACUGACGCUGUGGCGCGAAAGCGUGGGGAGCGAACAGG